rnacentral:rRNA from 1 species
UACGAGGGGUGCUAGCGUUGUUCGGAAUCACUGGGCGUAAAGCGUGCGUAGGCGGACUGAAAAGUCAGGGGUGAAAUCCCAGAGCUCAACUCUGGAACUGCCUUUGAAACUGCCAGUCUGGAGGCCGGGAGAGGAUAGUGGAAUUCCUAGUGUAGAGGUGAAAUUCGUAGAUAUUAGGAGGAACACCAGUGGCGAAGGCGACUGUCUGGACCGGUUCUGACGCUCAAGCACGAAAGCGUGGGGAGCAAAC